rnacentral:lncRNA from 1 species
CUUUUCCUUGUGCAAGAACGUGUCGCAUGAAUAUGACGUCACUAAGGCUAUGUGGCUUUUUAGCCUAAGAAGUAUUUGCUCCAACAUCUAAAAGCCAAGUCUCAUUUCCAAAUGUAAAAGCUGGCAUUUUGUUGGAUUUCGUUAAUACGUUUUUGUCUAAGAAGCCUUUUCACUGUUAAGGAGACACAUACAAGGGCCUCGAGCGUGGAAAAGAGGUUUGAUUUUGUGCUUGUAUUCAAAGAGGAAGAAGGAAGCGAGUGACAGCCCUCCUACUGCUGAGCGUAUCUUAGUAAAAAAAUAAAGGCACAGAAGAGCAGGUGACGUUGCCCAGCUGAAGACCAGCGGGUUCGGAGGAUCUCAGGACGGACUCUGCUACGCUCGUCAACACGAAUGAAAACACAUACCUGAACCCUGAGACAAACAGAGGCCACUGUGGAAUAUGGAAUCAAGACUCUACUGGAUACAUAAAGAAAAAACCUUAGGCUGUACUCACACAUACUUCCAGACAGAGAGAGACGGGGACAAGGGAAUACCCAAAAUGACAAUUUGACAGGGAAUAUGAAAACAAGACUGGACUUUUUCUUCUUUGAUGGAGAGUAUUAUGUAGAUGUCAUGUCCACAUGACAAAAUGUCUGUACAUGGAAUAUGGAAAAGCUUAUUUUAAUCAUUUCUAAAACUGGUCAAAAUGCAGAGGAGACAUUGCAUGGGAGCACUGGAACAGAAUUUGUCAUCGCAACAUUGUUUUUGAACUAUUGAACUACAUGGAUAAAAUUAAAAAAAAAAACUAUGUAUCCAAAAAACUAUAAUGAUGCACUGAAAAAAAUGCUUUUCUAACUUAUCUUUUUUGUCUUGUUUCUUGUCUACAUAUCUAAAAAUUCUUCAAUUAAGAAGCAUUUUCUAGAAAAGCAAAACAAAAGCUCUUGUUUUAAGGUUUAAUGUGCCAAAUUAAGUAAGCUUUUCCACAAGCUAAGUAAUCUGCCACUGGGUUAAGAUAAAAUAAUCUUAUGUCAAAACAAGGAACAAGAAUAUUUUGCUUAUUUUGCUGGAUUUAAGGAAAACUUACUUAGUUUUGAUAUAUUAUUUAUUAAAACAAGG